UACGUAGGCAGCAAGCGUUGUUCGGAAUUACUGGGCGUAAAGAGUGUGUAGGCGGUGCUCUAAGUUUGGUGUGAAAUCUCCCGGCUCAACUUGGAGGGUGCAUCGAAAACUGGGGUGCUCGAGGGUUGGAGAGGCAAGCGGAAUUCCUGGUGUAGCGGUGAAAUGCGUAGAUAUCAGGAGGAACACCUGUGGUGUAGACAGCUUGCUGGACAAUUUCUGACGCUGAGACACGAAAGCGUGGGUAGCAAACAGG
rnacentral:rRNA from 1 species